rnacentral:rRNA from 1 species
UAGGGAAUCUUCGGCAAUGGGGGGAACCCUGACCGAGCAACGCCGCGUGAGUGAAGAAGGUUUUCGGAUCGUAAAGCUCUGUUGUUAAGGAAGAACGAGUGUGAGAAUGGAAAGUUCAUACUGUGACGGUACUUAACCAGAAAGGGACGGCUAACUACGUGCCAGCAGCCGCGGUAAUACGUAGGUCCCGAGCGUUGUCCGGAUUUAUUGGGCGUAAAGCGAGCGCAGGCGGUUAGAUAAGUCUGAAGUUAAAGGCAGUGGCUCAACCAUUGUAGGCUUUGGAAACUGUUUAACUUGAGUGCAGAAGGGAAGAGUGGAAUUCCAUGUGUAGCGGUGAAAUGCGUAGAUAUAUGGAGGAACACCGGUGGCGAAAGCGGCUCUCUGGUCUGUAACUGACGCUGAGGCUCGAAAGCGUGGGGAGCGAACAGG